GGCAGUGUGGUUCAGUGGUAGAAUACUUAUCUAGCAUGAGUGAAGCGCUGAGUUCCAUCCCCAGCACUGCAA
rnacentral:tRNA from 1 species